rnacentral:rRNA from 1 species
AACGAACGCUGGCGGCAUGCCUAACACAUGCAAGUCGAACGAGACCUUCGGGUAUAGUGGCGCACGGGUGCGUAACGCGUGGGAACCUGCCCUUAGGUUCGGAAUAACUCCCCGAAAGGGGUGCUAAUACCGGAUAAUGUCUUCGGACCAAAGAUUUAUCGCCUUUGGAUGGGCCCGCGUUGGAUUAGCUAGUUGGUAGGGUAAAAGCCUACCAAGGCGACGAUCCAUAGCUGGUCUGAGAGGAUGAUCAGCCACACUGGGACUGAGACACGGCCCAGACUCCUGCGGGAGGCAGCAGUGGGGAAUAUUGGACGAUGGGCGAAAGCCUGAUCCAGCAAUGCCGCGUGAGUGAUGAAGGCCUUAGGGUUGUAAAGCUCUUUUACCCGGGAUGAUAAUGACAGUACCGGGAGAAUAAGCUCCGGCUAACUCCGUG